rnacentral:tRNA from 1 species
GGUUCUAUAGUGUAGUGGUUAUCACUUCAGUUUCUGGUACUGAAAACCCGAGUUCAAAUCUCGGUAGAACCU